ensembl:snRNA U6 U6 spliceosomal RNA
GUGCUCACUUUGGCAGCACAUAUACUAAAACUGGAACCAUACAGAGGCGAUUAGCAUGGCCCCUGUGCAAGGAUGACAUGCAAAUUUGAGAAGCAACCCAUAUUAAA